ACGCCGUAAACGGUGGGCGCUAGUUGUGCGAACCUUCCACGGUUUGUGCGACGCAGCUAACGCAUUAAGCGCCCCGCCUGGGGAGUACGAUCGCAAGAUUAAAACUCAAAGGAAUUGACGGGGCCCCGCACAAGCAGCGGAGCAUGCGGCUUAAUUCGACGCAACGCGAAGAACCUUACCAAGGCUUGACAUAUACAGGAAUACGGCAGAGAUGUCGUAGCCGCAAGGUCUGUAUACAGGUGGUGCAUGGUUGUCGUCAGCUCGUGUCGUGAGAUGUUGGGUUAAGUCCCGCAACGAGCGCAACCCUCGUUCUGUGUUGCCAGCAUUUAGUUGGGGACUCACAGGAGACUGCCGGGGUUAACUCGGAGGAAGGUGGGGAUGACGUCAAAUCAUCAUGCCCCUUAUGUCUUGGGCUGCACGCAUGCUACAAUGGCUGGUACAAACGGCUGCAAUACCGCAAGGUGGAGCGAAUCCGAGAAAGCCAGUCUCAGUUCGGAUUGGGGUCUGCAACUCGACCCCAUGAAGUCGGAGUUGCUAGUAAUCGUAGAUCAGCAACGCUACGGUGAAUACGUUCCCGGGGCUUGUACACACCGCCCGUCACGUCACGAAAGUCGGUAACACCCAAA
rnacentral:rRNA from 1 species